UACGUAGGGGGCAAGCGUUGUCCGGAUUCAUUGGGCGUAAAGAGCUCGUAGGCGGCUUGGCAAGUCGGGUGUGAAAACUCCAGGCUCAACCUGGAGACGCCACCCGAUACUGCCAUGGCUUGAGUCCGGUAGGGGACCACGGAAUUCCUGGUGUAGCGGUGAAAUGCGCAGAUAUCAGGAGGAACACCGGUGGCGAAGGCGGGUCUCUGGGCCGAUAUUGACGCUGAGGAGCGAAAGCGUGGGGAGCGAACAGG
rnacentral:rRNA from 1 species